rnacentral:rRNA from 1 species
ACCCCGGGUCUGCAGUGGGUACGGGCAGACUAGAGUGCAGUAGGGGAGACUGGAAUUCCUGGUGUAGCGGUGAAAUGCGCAGAUAUCAGGAGGAACACCGAUGGCGAAGGCAGGUCUCUGGGCUGUUACUGACGCUGAGGAGCGAAAGCAUGGGGAGCGAACAGGAUUAGAUACCCUGGUAGUCCAUGCCGUAAACGUUGGGCACUAGGUGUGGGGGACAUUCCACGUUCUCCGCGCCGUAGCUAACGCAUUAAGUGCCCCGCCUGGGGAGUACGGCCGCAAGGCUAAAACUCAAAGGAAUUGACGGGGGCCCGCACAAGCGGCGGAGCAUGCGGAUUAAUUCGAUGCAACGCGAAGAACCUUACCAAGGCUUGACAUUCACCGGACCGCACUGGAGACAGUGUUUCCCUUCGGGGUCGGUGGACAGGUGGUGCAUGGUUGUCGUCAGCUCGUGUCGUGAGAUGUUGGGUUAAGUCCCGCAACGAGCGCAACCCUCGUUCUAUGUUGCCAGCACGUGAUGGUGGGGACUCAUAGGAGACUGCCGGGGUCAACUCGGAGGAAGGUGGGGAUGACGUCAAAUCAUCAUGCCCCUUAUGUCUUGGGCUUCACGCAUGCUACAAUGGCCGGUACAAAGGGUUGCGAUACUGUGAGGUGGAGCUAAUCCCAAAAAGCCGGUCUCAGUUCGGAUUGAGGUCUGCAACUCGACCUCAUGAAGUCGGAGUCGCUAGUAAUCGCAGAUCAGCAACGCUGCGGUGAAUACGUUCCCGGGCCUUGUACACACCGCCCGUUAAGUAAACGGGAAGUUGGUAACACCCGAAGCCGGUGGCCUA